ACCCUCAUCAUAAUACCGUGGAAGUAUGGCGCUAUUUUGCGCCUUGUUAGUGAUGAAGUGUAGAAAUAACGAUUUCUUUUGACUUUACCAGUGUCCCGACGACUACCGUUACAAGCUAAUUAACGGUUUGUGCUAAAACUGGUCACUUUCGAUUAGCGUGGAAACAAAUCCCAGAGAACGGUUGACUCUGUACCCAUAUGUUAUUAACCCAUAGGUUCAUUUUGUGCCGGAAUUGUCCUUUUUUAAAACUUGAAUCAAAG